GGACCCGCACAAGCGGUGGAUUAUGUGGAUUAAUUCGAUGCAACGCGAAAAACCUUACCUACCCUUGACAUGUCCUGAAUCCUGGAGAGAUCCGGGAGUGCCCGAAAGGGAACGGGAACACAGGUGCUGCAUGGCUGUCGUCAGCUCGUGUCGUGAGAUGUUGGGUUAAGUCCCGCAACGAGCGCAACCCUUGCCAUUAGUUGCUACAUUCAGUUGGGCACUCUAAUGGGACUGCCGGUGACAAACCGGAGGAAGGUGGGGAUGACGUCAAGUCCUCAUGGCCCUUAUGGGUAGGGCUUCACACGUAAUACAAUGGUCGGUACAGAGGGUUGCCAAAGCGCGAGCUGGAGCCAAUCCCAGAAAGCCGAUCGUAGUCCGGAUUGCAGUCUGCAACUCGACUGCAUGAAGUCGGAAUCGCUAGUAAUCGCGGAUCAGCAUGUCGCGGUGAAUACGUUCCCGGGUCUU
rnacentral:rRNA from 1 species